CCAGGCAGGAGAGCAGUGACUAUCAGCAGCAGCUCUUGAGACACCAGAUUCCGCGACAGCCAAACCAACCUGAGGAAGUGAUUCAGUCACACUGUGUGUGUGCAGGGGUGUAUGGUAUUGAGAUGGCCACUGUGUUUCUACUGUGACACGUGGUUGACACCUAGUUUAACAAUUACAGAGGCUGGAGAUGAGUUCAGUGGUACAGCAUUUUCCAGCACGCAGGAGGCAUAGGUGUGUUUCACACACACACAGUUAUGGAAGUGCCAUCUGUGGCAUAUAUCCCCAAAUGUGGAGUGCCGCGACCAGUACCAGAUGCAUCUAGGGUGUGGCCUAAACUGCUGAGGAGCUGUCAAAGCCGCAGUGACGACAGACAGAGAUGAUGACCCACAGCAGCUUUCCUGCUGGGCAGAGUCUUUCUCUGGCUCCCAGGCUGCAGAGGACUGUUCCUGACCAUGCUGCCCUUCUGGGUACUUGAGAGGAAAGGAGCCUGGGGAGCAGCGUGGAGCUACGGAAAAGAACAGACUCCGGAGUAUAACGAUGGUGAUGUUGACACUGAUACGGCCCAAGGGGACAAGAAGUUACUGAGUGUCUCUGGGCAUCGGUUUCUUCUACUACAAAAGGGACCUGCAUGGUCUCGUGAGGCCUGGUGCUCUUUCCUGCA